UACGUAGGGACCAAGCGUUGUCCGGAAUCAUUGGGCGUAAAGAGCGUGUAGGCGGCUUGUUAAGUCUUGCGUGAAAUCUCGGGGCUCAACCCCGAGCGGUCGUGAGAAACUGGCAGGCUAGAGUGCGGGAGAGGAGAGUGGAAUUCCUGGUGUAGCGGUGGAAUGCGCAGAUAUCAGGAGGAACACCAAUAGCGAAGGCAGCUCGCUGGGACGGUACUGACGCUAAGGCGCGAAAGCGUGGGGAGCAAACAGG
rnacentral:rRNA from 1 species